rnacentral:siRNA from 1 species
CUUGUGCAUCAAACGACAUACA